rnacentral:rRNA from 1 species
AUUGAACGCUGGCGGCAGGCCUAACACAUGCAAGUCGAGCGAGCGGCGGACGGGUGAGUAAUGUCUGGGAAACUGCCUGAUGGAGGGGGAUAACUACUGGAAACGGUAGCUAAUACCGCAUCCCAUCAGAUGUGCCAAGCUGGGAUUAGCUAGUAGGUGGGGUAACGGCUCAACUGGGCGACGAUCCCUAGCUGGUCUGCGAGGAUGACCAGCCACACUGGAACUGUGACACGGUCCAGACUCCUACGGGAGGCAGGAGUGGGGAAUAUUGCACAAGGGGCGCAAUCCGGAUGCAGCCAUGCCGCGUCUGUGAAGAAGGCCUUCGGGUUGUAAAGCACUUUCAGCGGGGAGGCGUUACCCGCAGAAGAAGCACCGGCAAACUCCGUGCCAGCAGCCGCGGUAAUAC